ACCAUCUCUUUUACUGGGGCACACUAUAUAUAUGUAAAGUGCUUUUACUGAUAAAAAAUAGUAAACAAAAUGAUAUUUUAAUCUUUUUACGUUCUCGUAGUAUUCUUUUGUCCAGUCUAAUUUACAAAGACUGAGAACAUUCAUUCUUCACUUAAUAUUAUAUAGUGUUGGUGCCUUGGUGGUAUGGAUGAUUGAUAUGCUGAGAAAGCAAAGCAUAAAACAUAGGUCCAGGCAUGUCUGUUCAAUG